GAUGAACGCUGGCGGCGUGCUUAACACAUGCAAGUCGAACGGUAAGGCCCUUCGGGGUACACGAGUGGCGAACGGGUGAGUAACACGUGGGUGAUCUGCCCUGCACUUCGGGAUAAGCCUGGGAAACUGGGUCUAAUACCGGAUAGGACCACUGCCUGCAUGGGUGGUGGUGGAAAGCUUUUGCGGUGUGGGAUGGGCCCGCGGCCUAUCAGCUUGUUGGUGGGGUGAUGGCCUACCAAGGCGACGACGGGUAGCCGGCCUGAGAGGGUGACCGGCCACACUGGACUGAGAUACGGCCCAGACUCCUACGGGAGGCAGCAGUGGGGAAUAUUGCACAAUGGGCGCAAGCCUGAUGCAGCGACGCCGCGUGAGGGAUGACGGCCUUCGGGUUGUAAACCUCUUUCAGCACCGACGAAGCGCAAGUGACGGUAGGUGCCGAAGAAGCACCGGCUAACUACGUGCCAGCAGCCGCCGUAA
rnacentral:rRNA from 1 species